GGUGCCAUCGCAUUGCUGACAGAGAGAGAGAGCACGCCUGUAUUCUCUUAUAUGGAUUUUGCAUAUGUGGGCGUACAUGCGUGCUCUCUACUUGUAGUCAGCAAACGACUGUAUC
rnacentral:pre_miRNA from 1 species